rnacentral:rRNA from 1 species
GAGUUGUUGCUGGUCCUCGAAGGGGGCAUGUGCACGCUCUGUUCACACAUCCACUCACACCCUGUGCACCCUCUGUGGUUCUGUGGUCGGGGGGCCCUGUCCUCCUGCCGUGGUUCUGCUUCUUUACACACACACUGUAACAAAGUCUCAUGGAAUGCAUGCCGCGUUUAACGCAAUACAAUACAACUUUCAGCAACGGAUCUCUUGGCUCUCGCAUCGAUGAAGAACGCAGCGAAAUGCGAUAAGUAAUGUGAAUUGCAGAAUUCAGUGAAUCAUCGAAUCUUUGAACGCACCUUGCGCCCUUUGGCCAUUCCGAAGGGCAUGCCUGUUUGAGUAUCAUGAACACCUCAACUCUUCAUGGUUUUCCAUGAUGAGCUUGGACUUUGGGGGUUUUGCUGGCCCUAUGGUCAGCUCCUCUAAAAUGAAUCGGCUUGCCAGUGUUUGGUGGGCAUCACAGGUGUGAUAACUAUCUACGCUUGUGGUUUUCCACCAGGUAACCUUCAGCAGUGGAGGUUCACUGGAGCUCACAGACGUCUCUCCUCAGCGAGGACAGCCCUUUGAAUGUUUUGAUCUCAAAUCAG